rnacentral:rRNA from 1 species
UUGAAAAGAACUUUGAAGAGAGAGUUCAAGAGUACGUGAAACCGUUCAGGGGUAAACCUAAGAAACCCAAAAGAUCGAACGGGGAGAUUCAUCGUCAGCGACGCUGGCUUCGCGUCGGUGGGCGAUGUCCCGCGGGGCCUCGCGGCUCGCGCGCGGACACGCUGCCGUGCGUCGAUGUCCGGCGUUUCGUCGUCGUGCACUUCUCCCCUAGUAGAACGUCGCGACCCGCUGGGUGUCGGUCUACGGUCCGGGUGCGGUGACUGACGCGUCGCCGGUAAAACGGCACGCGUCAAACCCCCGGUCGCCCGGCCGGCUGCCCGGCGGUACACGCAAGGUAUCAGGCCGCAGCUCUCACCACCUGGUGGUGACGAGUGUGCGUCGAGGCCGUCGCAAGCGCGCGCCACGGUACACGGAGGCUAACGGACCUAGUGCCGUCACCGGUCCUGGCCCGCUGUUGGUCGUACGGUUAACCUUCGACAGGCCUACGAACGUCCCACGGGGUUUACCCCACGGGGACCGAUACCGGUCGGCGACGCUACUGCUUUGGGUACUCUUAGGACCCGUCUUGAAACACGGACCAAGGAGUCUAACAUGUACGCGAGUCAUUGGGACUAGCGACACCUAAAGGCGUAAUGAAAGUGAAGGUCGGCCCUGGUUGUCGACCGAGGGAGGAUGGGCCGCGUCUCGAUGCGGCUCCGCACUCCCGGGGCGUCUCGUUCUCAUCGCGAGAAGAGGCGCACCUAGAGCGUACACGUUGGGACCCGAAAGAUGGUGAACUAUGCCUGGUCAGGACGAAGUCAGGGGAAACCCUGAUGGAGGUCCGUAGCGAUUCUGACGUGCAAAUCGAUCGUCGGAACUGGGUAUAGGGGCGAAAGACUAAUCGAACCAUCUAGUAGCUGGUUCCCUCCGAAGUUUCCCUCAGGAUAGCUGGCACUCGGCCGUUCCGCACGGAACGCGCGCGAGUCUCAUCUGGUAAAGCGAAUGAUUAGAGGCCUUGGGGCCGAAACGACCUCAACCUAUUCUCAAACUUUAAAUGGGUGAGAUCUCUGGCUUUCUUGAACUAUGAAGCCACGAGCAUCUCGGAUCAGAGUGCCAAGUGGGCCAUUUUUGGUAAGCAGAACUGGCGCUGUGGGAUGAACCAAACGCAGAGUUAAGGCGCCCAACUCGACGCUCAUGGGACACCAUGAAAGGCGUUGGUUGCUUAAGACAGCAGGACGGUGGCCAUGGAAGUCGGAAUCCGCUAAGGAGUGUGUAACAACUCACCUGCCGAAGCAACUAGCCCUGAAAAUGGAUGGCGCUGAAGCGUCGAGCCUAUACUCUGCCGUCAGCGGCAAGUGGGGCGGCCGUGCGCGCCACCAAGCGCGUACGCGCCGCCACGAGGCCCUGACGAGUAGGAGGGUCGCGGCGGUGUGCGCAGAAGGGUCU